rnacentral:rRNA from 1 species
AAAUUGAAGAGUUUGAUCAUGGCUCAGAUUGAACGCUGGCGGCAGGCCUAACACAUGCAAGUCGAACGGUAGCACAGAGAGCUUGCUCUCGGGUGACGAGUGGCGGACGGGUGAGUAAUGUCUGGGAAACUGCCUGAUGGAGGGGGAUAACUACUGGAAACGGUAGCUAAUACCGCAUAACGUCGCAAGACCAAAGAGGGGGACCUUCGGGCCUCUUGCCAUCAGAUGUGCCCAGAUGGGAUUAGCUAGUAGGUGGGGUAACGGCUCACCUAGGCGACGAUCCCUAGCUGGUCUGAGAGGAUGACCAGCCACACUGGAACUGAGACACGGUCCAGACUCCUACGGGAGGCAGCAGUGGGGAAUAUUGCACAAUGGGCGCAAGCCUGAUGCAGCCAUGCCGCGUGUAUGAAGAAGGCCUUCGGGUUGUAAAGUACUUUCAGCGGGGAGGAAGGUGUUGCGGUUAAUAACCGCAGCAAUUGACGUUACCCGCAGAAGAAGCACCGGCUAACUCCGUGCCAGCAGCCGCGGUAAUACGGAGGGUGCAAGCGUUAAUCGGAAUUACUGGGCGUAAAGCGCACGCAGGCGGUCUGUCAAGUCGGAUGUGAAAUCCCCGGGCUCAACCUGGGAACUGCAUUCGAAACUGGCAGGCUAGAGUCUUGUAGAGGGGGGUAGAAUUCCAGGUGUAGCGGUGAAAUGCGUAGAGAUCUGGAGGAAUACCGGUGGCGAAGGCGGCCCCCUGGACAAAGACUGACGCUCAGGUGCGAAAGCGUGGGGAGCAAACAGGAUUAGAUACCCUGGUAGUCCACGCCGUAAACGAUGUCGACUUGGAGGUUGUGCCCUUGAGGCGUGGCUUCCGGAGCUAACGCGUUAAGUCGACCGCCUGGGGAGUACGGCCGCAAGGUUAAAACUCAAAUGAAUUGACGGGGGCCCGCACAAGCGGUGGAGCAUGUGGUUUAAUUCGAUGCAACGCGAAGAACCUUACCUACUCUUGACAUCCAGAGAACUUUCCAGAGAUGGAUUGGUGCCUUCGGGAACUCUGAGACAGGUGCUGCAUGGCUGUCGUCAGCUCGUGUUGUGAAAUGUUGGGUUAAGUCCCGCAACGAGCGCAACCCUUAUCCUUUGUUGCCAGCGGUCCGGCCGGGAACUCAAAGGAGACUGCCAGUGAUAAACUGGAGGAAGGUGGGGAUGACGUCAAGUCAUCAUGGCCCUUACGAGUAGGGCUACACACGUGCUACAAUGGCGCAUACAAAGAGAAGCGACCUCGCGAGAGCAAGCGGACCUCAUAAAGUGCGUCGUAGUCCGGAUUGGAGUCUGCAACUCGACUCCAUGAAGUCGGAAUCGCUAGUAAUCGUAGAUCAGAAUGCUACGGUGAAUACGUUCCCGGGCCUUGUACACACCGCCCGUCACACCAUGGGAGUGGGUUGCAAAAGAAGUAGGUAGCUUAACCUUCGGGAGGGCGCUUACCACUUUGUGAUUCAUGACUGGGGUGAAGUCGUAACAAGGUAACCGUAGGGGAACCUGCGGUUGGAUCACCUCCUUA